rnacentral:rRNA from 1 species
GACGAACGCUGGCGGCGUGCCUAAUACAUGCAAGUAGAACGCUGAAGCUUGGUGCUUGCACCGAGCGGAUGAGUUGCGAACGGGUGAGUACGCGUAGGUAACCUGCCUGGUAGCGGGGGAUAACUAUUGGAAACGAUAGCUAAUACCGCAUAAGAGUAGAUGUUGCAUGACAUUUGCUUAAAAGGUGCAAUUGCAUCACUACCAGAUGGACCUGCGUUGUAUUAGCUAGUUGGUGAGGUAACGGCUCACCAAGGCAACGAUACAUAGCCGACCUGAGAGGGUGAUCGGCCACCCUGGGACUGAGACACGGCCCAGACUCCUACGGGAGGCAGCAGUAGGGAAUCUUCGGCAAUGGACGGAAGUCUGACCGAGCAACGCCGCGUGAGUGAAGAAGGUUUUCGGAUCGUAAAGCUCUGUUGUAAGAGAAGAACGAGUGUGAGAGUGGAAAGUUCACACUGUGACGGUAUCUUACCAGAAAGGGACGGCUAACUACGUG